rnacentral:rRNA from 1 species
GAUGAACGCUGGCGGCGUGCCUAAUACAUGCAAGUCGAGCGAACAGACGAGGAGCUUGCUCCUUCGACGUUAGCGGCGGACGGGUGAGUAACACGUAGGUAACCUACCUAUAUGACUGGGAUAACUUCGGGAAACCGGAGCUAAUACCGGAUAAUAUUUCGAACUGCAUGGUUCGAUAGUGAAAGAUGGCUUUGCUAUCACUUAUAGAUGUACCUGCGCCGUAUUAGCUAGUUGGUAAGGUAACGGCUUACCAAGGCAACGAUACGUAGCCGACCUGAGAGGGUGAUCGGCCACACUGGAACUGAGACACGGUCCAGACUCCUACGGGAGGCAGCAGUAGGGAAUCUUCCGCAAUGGGCGAAAGCCUGACGGAGCAACGCCGCGUGAGUGAUGAAGGUCUUCGGAUCGUAAAACUCUGUUAUUAGGGAAGAACAAACGUGUAAGUAACUGUGCACGUCUUGACGGUACCUAAUCAGAAAGCCACGGCUAACUACGUG